UGAGGAAUAUUGCACAAUGGGCGCAAGCCUGAUGCAGCCAUGCCGCGUGUAUGAAGAAGGCCUUCGGGUUGUAAAGUACUUUCAGCGAGGAGGAAGGCGUUGUGGUUAAUAACCGCAACGAUUGACGUUACUCGCAGAAGAAGCACCGGCUAACUCCGUGCCAGCAGCCGCGGUAAUACGGAGGGUGCAAGCGUUAAUCGGAAUUACUGGGCGUAAAGCGCACGCAGGCGGUCUGUCAAGUCGGAUGUGAAAUCCCCGGGCUCAACCUGGGAACUGCAUCCGAAACUGGCAGGCUAGAGUCUUGUAGAGGGGGGUAGAAUUCCAGGUGUAGCGGUGAAAUGCGUAGAGAUCUGGAGGAAUACCGGUGGCGAAGGCGGCCCCCUGGACAAAGACUGACGCUCAGGUGCGAAAGCGUGGGGAGCAAACA
rnacentral:rRNA from 1 species